GGUGAAGCUGGUCCCCAAGGGCCCCGAGGCUCUGAAGGUCCCCAGGGUGUGCGUGGUGAGCCUGGCCCCCCUGGCCCUGCUGGUGCUGCUGGCCCUGCUGGAAACCCUGGUGCUGAUGGACAGCCUGGUGCUAAAGGUGCCAAUGGUGCUCCUGGUAUUGCUGGUGCUCCUGGCUUCCCUGGUGCCCGAGGCCCCUCUGGACCCCAGGGCCCCGGCGGCCCUCCUGGUCCCAAGGGUAACAGCGGUGAACCUGGUGCUCCUGGCAGCAAAGGAGACACUGGUGCUAAGGGAGAGCCUGGCCCUGUUGGUGUUCAAGGACCCCCUGGCCCUGCUGGAGAGGAAGGAAAGCGAGGAGCUCGAGGUGAACCCGGACCCACUGGCCUGCCCGGACCCCCUGGCGAGCGUGGUGGACCUGGUAGCCGUGGUUUCCCUGGCGCAGAUGGUGUUGCUGGUCCCAAGGGUCCCGCUGGUGAACGUGGUUCUCCUGGCCCUGCUGGCCCCAAAGGAUCUCCUGGUGAAGCUGGUCGUCCCGGUGAAGCUGGUCUGCCUGGUGCCAAGGGUCUGACUGGAAGCCCUGGCAGCCCUGGUCCUGAUGGCAAAACUGGCCCCCCUGUAAGUAUCACUCCCCCUGAACCCCCUGCCAUUGUCCUGUCUGCCUCCCUGCUGUCCUCACUGCUGCUUUCGUGCCUCCCAUCCUUAGGGUCCCGCCGGUCAAGAUGGUCGCCCCGGACCCCCAGGCCCACCUGGUGCCCGUGGUCAGGCUGGUGUGAUGGGAUUCCCUGGACCUAAAGGUGCUGCUGUGAGUAUUAAGUGAGGAUCCAUGAAGAGCCAGGGACAAACACACCUGAGACUUGAAGGAGUCCUGGGCUCUGGGCUCAGCUGUGCCGCUGACCUGCCGUGUGGCCACUCACUCUCACUUUCUGGACCUCAGCCUCCCUAUCUGUAAAAUGAAAGACUUCUCGGCGGGGCACGGUGGCUCAUGCCUGUAAUCCCAGCACUUUGGGAGGCCAAGGCGGGCAGACCAUGAGGUCAGGAGUUUGAGACCAGUCGGGCCAACAUAGUGAAACCACGUCUCUACUAAAAAUACAAAAGAUUAGCUGGGUGUGGUGGUGUGCACCUGUAACCCCAGCUAGUCAGGAGGCUGAGGCAGGAGAAUUGCAUGAACCCGGGAGGUGGAGGUUGCAGUGAGCUG
rnacentral:lncRNA from 1 species